rnacentral:rRNA from 1 species
AUUGAACGCUGGCGGCAUGCCUUACACAUGCAAGUCGAACGGUAACGGGCCUUCGGGUGCCGACGAGUGGCGAACGGGUGAGUAAUGCAUCGGAACGUACCUUUCAGUGGGGGAUAACGUAGCGAAAGUUACGCUAAUACCGCAUAUUCUGUGAGCAGGAAAGCAGGGGAUCGCAAGACCUUGCGCUGAUUGAGCGGCCGAUGUCAGAUUAGCUAGUUGGUGAGGUAAAGGCUCACCAAGGCGACGAUCUGUAGCGGGUCUGAGAGGAUGAUCCGCCACACUGGAACUGAGACACGGUCCAGACUCCUACGGGAGGCAGCAGUGGGGGAAUUUUUGGACAAUGGGCGCAAGCCUGAU